rnacentral:lncRNA from 1 species
AUGGGCCUCCUUUGCCAAGGAUUAGUUUCUCUUUUUUGUUUUUUUUAGAAAUUCUGAAUGUGUUGAAAAGGCUUUAGAGGGAUUUAAAAUAUAGGAAAUAACAAGGUCUGACUUAAAUUUACAAAAGAUCUCUCUAGCAGCUGAUGGGCGACAGUCUAUAGGGAGCAAGAGCAGAAGAUCUAUUCUCCUCAGGGCAGACAAUAGGCACCUUUCAAGGACGAGGCAAGUAAGGCCCAGAGAGCUGACAAGAUCUGUCCUAGCUCACUCCAUUUUGUACUUUUGGUUCCCAGACCAGUGGCCCUUUGUGGCUACACAUUCUCUAACUGAGGCACAACUGACCAGGCUCCAGGUGAAGCUUCUCGGCCUGGUAUGCAGAGAAGACGAAGCCCUUGGGGCAGCCCAGCACCCACCCUUGACAAUACUCCUGCUUCAUUACAGGUCCUGUUGUGCCCAACUCAUGAUUUAUCCAGGUCACACCAGUCUGGUCUGUCACAGUAAGAGCUGGCCCCUUUUCUUCAGGGCCACCAGGAAACACACCUUCAGGAAGCACCUUUUCUGUUCUAUCCCAAAGGGCACCAUCACAUACACUAUAAUAUGAAUCAUGACCCCCGGAGUUGUGUGGAGUUUCUGCAUCUCUCCCUCCCCACUGUGGCUACCCUCAUCCAGCAACCAUCCUGUCUCUCACCGGUAUUACCGCAGCUGAGACCCAGGUCUUAAGGAAGCUGAGACCCAGGCCAGCAGGGGCCUCACAGGUAGAAUGAAGCUUGGAAAAAGAGGAGGGUGUAAGACUCUGGAUGAAGCUGAGAGAUCCUUCCAUGCUUGGCUGAGAGACUACACAGACAUGAGCUUCAGGAGACUCCAAAGCCUCGGAUCCCCUUCUAAACUAGCACUGAAUUCUGAUUGGCUGUCUUUGCCUGCCUCAGUUUGUUCCUUUUACUGAUUGGCUAGGUUCUUCUGCCCAUGGCAGAGCCCUGCUCCAGCCACCGGAUCCUCCCACCUGCCACAGUGUCACCUGGGAUUGGCUGGGCUCUGAAAGGCCAGGCUGGCUUGACUCUUGCCAUCAUCAGAUUCUUCCUCAUUAAACAAAUGAAUCACAAUCCUAAUUAAUUUGAGCAACAGAAUUUAUGUAACUACUCCCAGCAGGAUGUCUGCUCUCAGUCAGCAGAGAGAUUACUUCCUCUCUCUGGGAAAUUCCAGCCUUGCUGGUCAAUAAGCCUUAAUGAUGACUGAAAUCUCCCAUCUGUCUCUGCUCAGGGCAGGUAACCCCUACUAAGCAGACACCCAGUUGGCUCGAGGCAGUACCCCGGGCACCGGCAGGACAAGGACAACGAUCUCCCAGCCUAGAUGUGUCCUGAGCCACAUGGAGCACACAGAUUACAGGAUCUGACUCCCAUUUGGGCCUUCCACCUCCGCUGGCCUAAGCAGUCAAGUGUCAGAGAGCACUGGACCUAACAGCUCCCUCACCAGAGCAGCUGUGAUUCCUUCUUCAUUUCCAGCAGGGAAGACCCAACAACUUUUAUAAUAUGGGAUUUCUUUUAUUCUCAUGAUAAUAAUGUUCAUUGUGGAAAAUAAAAAAAAAUGAUAAAAUAAAAAUCAGCCAGAAUUCCAACUUCUGGAGAUUUUGGUGUCUUUCUGCAAAGUUCCUAUGCACAUAGAUACUUUAUAAAAUUAUGAACAUACUGUACAUACAGUUUUGGAAUAUGCCUUUUUCCUUCUGUCAUGAAAAAGUCUUCAAAUGCCUUUUAACAGCUACACAAUAGUUCACUACAUGAACCAACUCAAAUGUAACUAUUUUUGGCCUUUUGUUAUAAAUAACACAAGAACCCUCAGUCUUUGUUACAUAAUGUCCUAACAGAGUAGGGGAAAUGCUCCCCAAUCCGGUGCAAUGUCCUGUGCCCAGGGAAACCAAUU